AUUGAACGCUGGCGGCAGGCCUAACACACGCAAGUCGAGCGGAUGAAGGGAGCUUGCUCCUGGAUUCAGCGGCGGACGGGUGAGUAAUGCCUAGGAAUCUGCCUGGUAGUGGGGGAUAACGUCCGGAAACGGGCGCUAAUACCGCAUACGUCCUGAGGGAGAAAGUGGGGGAUCUUCGGACCUCACGCUAUCAGAUGAGCCUAGGUCGGAUUAGCUAGUUGGUGGGGUAAAGGCCUACCAAGGCGACGAUCCGUAACUGGUCUGAGAGGAUGAUCAGUCACACUGGAACUGAGACACGGUCCAGACUCCUACGGGAGGCAGCAGUGGGGAAUAUUGGACAAUGGGCGAAAGCCUGAUCCAGCCAUGCCGCGUGUGUGAAGAAGGUCUUCGGAUUGUAAAGCACUUUAAGUUGGGAGGAAGGGCAGUAAGUUAGUACCUUGCUGUUUUGACGUUACCAACAGAAUAAGCACCGGCUAACUUCGUG
rnacentral:rRNA from 1 species